GACUGACCGAUAGUGAACCAGUACCGUGAGGGAAAGGCGAAAAGAACCCCGGAGAGGGGAGUGAAAUAGAACCUGAAACCGUGUACGUACAAGCAGUGGGAGCACUUUUCGGAGUGUGACUGCGUACCUUUUGUAUAAUGGGUCAGCGACUUAAUUUCAGUAGCGAGGUUAACCGUAUAGGGGAGCCGUAGGGAAACCGAGUCUUAAUAGGGCGUUUAGUUGCUGGGAUUAGACCCGAAACCGG
rnacentral:rRNA from 1 species